rnacentral:rRNA from 1 species
CACGGUAAACGAUGGAUGCCCGCUGUUUGCGAUAUACUGUGAGCGGCCAAGAGAAAUCGUUAAGCAUCCCACCUGGGGAGUACGCCGGCAACGGUGAAACUCAAAGGAAUUGACGGGGGCCCGCACAAGCGGAGGAACAUGUGGUUUAAUUCGAUGAUACGCGAGGAACCUUACCCGGGCUUGAACUGCCAGCGAACGAUUCAGAGAUGAUGAGGUCCUUCGGGACGCUGGUGGAGGUGCUGCAUGGUUGUCGUCAGCUCGUGCCGUGAGGUGUCGGCUUAAGUGCCAUAACGAGCGCAACCCUUUUCUUUAGUUGCCAUCAGGUAAUGCUGGGCACUCUGGAGAUACUGCCACCGUAAGGUGUGAGGAAGGUGGGGAUGACGUCAAAUCAGCACGGCCCUUACGUCCGGGGCUACACACGUGUUACAAUGGGGGGUACAGAGAGUCGGUGCAUGGCAAUGUGCAUCUAAUCCUAAAAGCCUUCCUCAGUUCGGAUUGGGGUCUGCAACCCGACC